rnacentral:ncRNA from 1 species
CUUCGGGGCGGGGUGAAAUUCCCUACCGGCGGUGACAGCCCGCGAGACCGUAAUGGUCAUGAAACGGUGAAAUUCCGGUGCCGACAGUAAAGUCUGGAUGAGAGAAG